CCCUAACCUCCACCAAGGGAUAGCAAGACAAGGAAACUAGGACCCAAUCAUUGCACCAUACAUAAACGAGAGGGACACUAGAAAGAGAUCCUCACUGCCUUGGAGAGGGUGGAGGGGGUGGAAACAGCAGAGCCCAAACAGAUGAAGAAUAAUAGGGCCAGGGGUCUCUUAAUUUGACACUCCAAUUGACCCCUGAGGAGCUCCAGCUGACAUAGGACAUAGGAGGAAAGACAGUCUAAUUCCUCAUCGACACUGGUGCCACUUAGUUCUGAACCCCAGAUCAGGCAAACUCAGUCACGAGAGGUGUAAAAUUAUCAGAGUAUCAGGGGAGGCCCAAUAAAGGACAUUCAUAGAUCCAUUAGAAUGCAACUGGACAAAUAUACUCUCAUCCAUUCCUUCCUAUACAUUCCUGAAUGCCCUAUGACCCUGCUAAAAGAGGCUGAAAAAUUAACUUUUGGUCACCCGGUCACUAGGUUCAGGCUUUAGUAAGUCUUAAGGGAACAGAAUGGCUGUUCCCUGGAAGGUAGAUUCAAGUCUAGGUUAUGCUUUUAGACAACCCAGUGUCUACCAUAAAAACUCAUCACAGGCGAAAUCCUGUCACCCUGCUACCCACAGAAACAAAGCCCCUGCAGCAUGACUGUAUAGAAGCCACAAUAUUCCAGUCACCUCAACUUAGAAAGUAAGCCUCUCCCAAAUACCCAUGAGGUCACAGAUGGGAGCAGGUUUAUGAGAGAGGGAAAGAAACUGACUCAAUAUGCAAUAUCCUCCCAGACCUGAGACGUGGAGACAUGAAGCUUACUCUCAGGCACAUCUGCCUUGAGGCCAAAGCAACAGCCCUCACCUGAAGACGAUCUCAAAUGUUUACACAGAUUCCCAGUGUGUAUAUGCCAUCCUGUAUGCACACAGGCUAUUUGGAAAGAAAGGGAGUAUGUUUACUGUAGAGAAUAAACAGGUGAAACAUGCCUGAAACAUACUGAGAUCCUAAAGUAGUGCAGCUUCUAAAAAUAGUGGCAGUGAUUCAACCUAGGGGCCUAACGGUAAAUUGGCAAUUAUCCUUCAUACCCAAGAGGCCAGCUGCAAACAAUUACUCUCCAGUCUACACAAAAAAUAAUGAGACAAAGCCCAGAAACAGGAUUUCAGUAGACAGCUAGGAGACCACGGGUGGUUAGUUAAUGAACAUGGGCAAUAUUUCUUUCCCCAACUGCCAUUUGUCAAGCCAUCAGGGAGGCUCAUUGAGAAACUCACUACAGGAGAGAAGCCCUAUAUAACUGGUCAGUUGCAAUCAUGCUAACUCCUGGUAUGAAAAGGAUAAUCAGUCAGAUAGUUGAGACAUGCUCCUUCUGCACAAUGAACAACCCCCACACCAGCACCCCCAGAGGUCCCCACAUAAGGCCUGUCAGCCCAGAGAGACACAUCCUAGGGAAGAUUGGCAGAUUGAUUUCACUAUCACGUCAAGAGCAUCAGACAAGUUCAGCUGUCUCUCAGUGCUAGUGGAUUUGUUUUUAGGGUCAGGAGAAGUGAUCCCCACUAGACGUGAAAUAGCAGGCAAAGUGGCUAAAGCAUUACUAAAAAAGAUAAUCCCCAGAUUUGGGCUCCCAAGAUUCCUACAAAGUGAUAACGGUCCAGCAUUUUUGUCUCAAGUGACGAAAGGAUAACAAGUGCCCUGGGCAUAAAACGAACCUUGUUCUCAGCCUGGAUACCCCAAUCAUCAGGAAAAGUACAGCAAUCCAAUUAGAUCUUAAAAUGCACCUGAGCCUUUUGAAAUGAAUGUGAGGAGAUUCAAAAAAAUUAGAUUAAUUUGCUCCCAACUGCCCUGCUCCACAUGUAGUUAGCUUCAAGGGACAUAAGUUAAAGUGAAGUACAUUUGAACUCAUGCACAUAGACCCAUUCCCCAGUCCAGAGAAAAGGGCACCUUGACAACUUUGAAAUGAAACAAUUCAGUAUGUUCUCCAGGUAGAAGAAAACAGGACCACACUCAUGGAAUAUGGUAAACAGGUGCUGCCCACACUCACCAGUCUGGCCCUCCACCCCUUCAGGCCAGGAGACUGGGUGAAGCUAAAAACCUGGAAAACCAGCAGCCCAAAGACCAAUUCACUUCUAGUAGAACUACCCCAUUUGGUGAUCCUAACCACCCACUCUGCCCUGAAGUUUCAGGGAUCACUCCAUGUGCACACCAUACUCCAGUGAAGAGGGCCCCUGAACCCCAGCCUCCUCUGAGACAACCUGGGACAAUGGACCCCUUUGACCACCUGGUUUCACUUGCUCAGAGGGUGCAGCGCGGAGAGGCCUGGCGCCCGGCCCUUCAGACCAGAGUUUCUAGUGCGAAAUAGCAGAGCCCAAGGCUUCAAUUCAAGAUGGCGGCGGUGGCGGCCGAGGGCAGAGACGCUGCGCCUUGCAGGAAGCGCGAACAGGACAGCCCCGCGAGAGCUCCUCGCCAGGCCCCCAGAAGGAUCCUGACAAAACAGCCCCGCCCACAGUCCUUGAUGGGGGAGAAUUUGUUAGAGUGAGAGCUGGUACCUCUUCAUUCUCUCAUCAAAGAAUAAAGCUUUCCUUUGCUUC